rnacentral:sRNA from 1 species
AGAUGAUUUGGCUUUGACAUCUGUCACUCUUUUGUCAGCAGGGUUGAUGAACUCAAUUGGCUACCUGAGAAGGUGGCACCAUGUUCCCUCCACGUGUGGACUUAUUCAAGCCAUACACUAAGGCAAAGCAGUUGAGCUUCUAAGCUCGGUCUUUUUCUCUUCCCUCAAUCUGGGGUAUCUGAAUAGCUGAGUUAUUUUAGUAUUAAAUCUGAAUAUGGAAAGGCAGUUUGAAGCAGUCAAAAUACUGAUUUUU